rnacentral:ncRNA from 1 species
UUUAGUGGGCCCAUCGACGGUCUCUCGAGGACGAGAGCGAACAGGGAACGCGGUACGGAUUUUGGUCCAAUUCCGCGGCUGCCCCCGCAACUGUAAGCGGUGAGCCCGAACCACAUUGCCACUGGGGAUACCCGGGAAGGCGGUGAGGGGCUGGAACCGCGAGCCAGGAGACCUGCCGUCGAUCUGGUCGCUCG